rnacentral:rRNA from 1 species
UACGUAGGAUGCAAGCGUUGUCCGGAUUUAUUGGGGUUAAAGGGUGCGGAGGCGGCCUAUUAAGUUAGUGGUGAAAACGUUCGGCUUAACCGGUUACCCGCCAUUGAUACUGAUAGACUUGAGUGCGACAGAGGGUGUUGGAAUGUGUGGUGUAGCGGUGAAAUGCUUAGAUAUCACGCAGAACACCAAUUGCGAAGGCAGAUGCCUAUGUCGUAACUGACGCUGAGGCACGAAAGCGUGGGGAGCAAACAGG